GUAGUUAGCCUAACCGCAAGGAGGGCGAUUACCACGGUAGGGUUCAUGACUGGGGUGAAGUCGUAACAAGGUAGCCGUAUCGGAAGGUGCGGCUGGAUCACCUCCUUUA
rnacentral:rRNA from 1 species